rnacentral:misc_RNA from 1 species
UACGGGGGCAGCAGUGGGGAAUUUUGGACAAUGGAAACCUGAUCCAGCCAUCCCGCGUGUGCGAUGAAGGCCUUCAGGUUGUAAAGCACUUUUGGCAGGAAAGAAACAGCCACAGGAUAUUACAGCAGCGAUAUUUCUGCAGAAUAAGCACCGGCUAACUACGUGCCAGCAGCCGCGGUAAUACGUAGGGUGCAAGCGUUAAUCAGGGUACUGGGCGUAAAGCGUGCGCAGGCGGUUCGGAAAGAAAGAUGAAAUCGAGCUUAGCCUGGAACUGCAUUUUAACUACCGAGCUAGAGUGUGUCAGAGGAGGUGGAAUUCCGCGUGUAGCAGUGAAAUGCGUAGAUAUGCGGAGGAACACCGAUAGCGAAGGCAGCCUCCUGGGAUAACACUGACGCUCAUGCACGAAAGCGUGGGGAGCAAACAGGAUUAGAUACCCUGGUAGU